UACGUAGGGAGCAAGCGUUGUCCGGAAUCAUUGGGCGUAAAGCGCGCGUAGGUGGCUUCGUAAGUCCGUUGUGAAAGUCAAAGGCUCAACCUUUGAAAGCCGAUGGAUACUGUGGAGCUAGAGUACGGGAAGAGGCGAGUGGAAUUCCUGGUGUAGCGGUGGAAUGCGCAGAUAUCAGGAGGAACACCAAUAGCGAAGGCAGCUCGCUGGGACGUACUGACACUGAGGCGCGAAAGCGUGGGGAGCGAACGG
rnacentral:rRNA from 1 species